GAUGAACGCUAGCUACAGGCUUAACACAUGCAAGUCGAGGGGAAACGACAUCGAAAGCUUGCUUUUGAUGGGCGUCGACCGGCGCACGGGUGAGUAACGCGUAUCCAACCUGCCCAUCACUUGGGAAUAACCUUGCGAAAGUAAGACUAAUACCCAAUGACAUCCCACGAAGACAUCUGAAUGGGAUUAAAGAUUUAUCGGUGAUGGAUGGGGAUGCGUCUGAUUAGCUUGUUGGCGGGGUAACGGCCCACCAAGGCAACGAUCAGUAGGGGUUCUGAGAGGAAGGUCCCCCACAUUGGAACUGAGACACGGUCCAAACGCCUACGGGAGGCAGCAGUGAGGAAUAUUGGUCAAUGGGCGAGAGCCUGAACCAGCCAAGUAGCGUGCAGGAUGACGGCCCUAUGGGUUGUAAACUGCUUUUAUAAGGGAAUAAAGUGGGUCUCGUGAGACUUUUUGCAUGUACCUUAUGAAUAAGGACCGGCUAAUUCCAUG
rnacentral:rRNA from 1 species